UGGCUCAGGAUGAACGCUGGCGGCGUGCUUAACACAUGCAAGUCGAACGAUGAAGCCCAGCUUGCUGGGUGGAUUAGUGGCGAACGGGUGAGUAACACGUGAGUAACCUGCCCUUAACUCUGGGAUAAGCCUGGGAAACUGGGUCUAAUACCGGAUAGGAGCGUCCACCGCAUGGUGGGUGUUGGAAAGAUUUAUCGGUUUUGGAUGGACUCGCGGCCUAUCAGCUUGUUGGUGAGGUAAUGGCUCACCAAGGCGACGACGGGUAGCCGGCCUGAGAGGGUGACCGGCCACACUGGGACUGAGACACGGCCCAGACUCCUACGGGAGGCAGCAGUGGGGAAUAUUGCACAAUGGGCGMAAGCCUGAUGCAGCGACGCCGCGUGAGGGAUGACGGCCUUCGGGUUGUAAACCUCUUUCAGUAGGGAAGAAGCGAAAGUGACGGUACCUGCAGAAGAAGCACCGGCUAACUACGUGCCAGCAGCCGCGGUAAUACGUAGGGUGCGAGCGUUAUCCGGAAUUAUUGGGCGUAAAGAGCUCGUAGGCGGUUUGUCGCGUCUGUCGUGAAAGUCCGGGGCUUAACCCCGGAUCUGCGGUGGGUACGGGCAGACUAGAGUGCAGUAGGGGAGACUGGAAUUCCUGGUGUAGCGGUGGAAUGCGCAGAUAUCAGGAGGAACACCGAUGGCGAAGGCAGGUCUCUGGGCUGUAACUGACC
rnacentral:rRNA from 1 species